rnacentral:rRNA from 1 species
UAACCCGCACCACUUAUCGUGGUGGGAGACAGUGUCAGGCGGGCAGUUUGACUGGGGCGGUCGCCUCCUAAAAGGGAACGGAGGCGCUCAAAGGUUUCCUCAGAAUGGUUGGAAAUCAUUCAUAGAGUGUAAAGGCAUAAGGGAGCUUGACUGCGAGACCUACAAGUCGAGCAGGGUCGAAAGACGGACUUAGUGAUCCGGUG